rnacentral:rRNA from 1 species
GAUGAACGCUGGCGGCGUGCCCAAUACAUGCAAGUCGAGCGAACAGAUGAGGAGCUUGCUCCUAUGACGUUAGCGGCGGACGGGUGAGUAACACGUGGAUAACCUACCUAUAAGACUGGGAUAACUUCGGGAAACCGGAGCUAAUACCGGAUAAUAUAUUGAACCGCAUGGUUCAAUAGUGAAAGACGGUUUUGCUGUCACUUAUAGAUGGAUCCGCGCCGCAUUAGCUAGUUGGUAAGGUAACGGCUUACCAAGGCAACGAUGCGUAGCCGACCUGAGAGGGUGAUCGGCCACACGGGAACUGAGAAACGGUCCAGACUCCAACGGGGGGCAGCAGUAGGGAAUCUUCCGCAAGGGGCGAAAGCCUGAGGGAGAAACGCCGCGUGGGUGAUGAAGGUCUGCGGAUCGUAAAACUCUGUUAUUAGGGAAGAAAAAAUGUGUAAGUAAAUAUGCACGUCUUGACGGUACCAAAGCAGAAAGCCACGGCUAACUACGU